rnacentral:lncRNA from 1 species
AACAAUUUAUGUAGCUACUACUAAAUUUAAUUUUAUUUUCCUGGUAAUUAUAGGUUUUUAAAAUUUCAUUGCACGAAUUUCCGGAUGUUCUUGCAUGUUAGUAUGAUUAUGGUAACGUUAGUUUGAUGGUUGUGCUCUUCGUGUCAUUUUCCUUUAGAUUACGUGAAAGACGUGAAUUCAGGGUUUCUUUUAAUGUUGCUCAAUACUCA